rnacentral:lncRNA from 1 species
UUCCCGCGCUCCCCUCCCCCGCCCUCCUCCCCUCUCCUCUCCUAUUUGCUUCUUUUUUCUCGCCGGCCUCCCUACUCGCCGUGUCCCUCCUAACCUUCUGGAACUUUCCACACCUUCCCCGCCCCCUCCCUGGCUCGGGAACGGGUUGUCCGCCCACUGGGGCGUGGUGGGAGGGGGCGCGCCUCCCACGCCUCAGCUCGGCUCCGCUCCACAGACGGACGCUUCUCCGAGUGCCCGCGUAGACGGCCUGAGACCCGCGGGCUGUGGCCUUUCCCGUACAGGCCGGGCGGGCGCCCCCUGACGUGCCGGAAAUCGAAAAAGAUGGUGAAGGGUCGGGCCAAUAAAUUAGCCUCAGGGAUGGAGAUGCAGACAGACGGAUGGGGUUGUAUGGAUACAGAUACACAAGGAAAACCAAAGCUAUUCAGUCUCCUCAUUUGUCCAGCAGCCUCACAGUGGUGCCCUUUCUCUGCUGCUGCUUUCCCUGCUUCGGGAGCAGCAGUUAUGGUAGAAGCAGAUGGCUACUGAUUGGGGGAGCUUUGUGGCUCUAAUACUGAAUACUUUAUGGAAAAGGACUUUAUCAUGCUUCGCUGGGCAGAGGAACAAGGGGGUGAGAUUUAUGGCCAGGAAAAAUAAAUCUUUUCCAAGUUGUGGCUCCUUCUCACCAGUUGUCUCUUUUGCUGGUGG